UACGGAGGGUGCUAGCGUUGUUCGGAAUUACUGGGCGUAAAGGGCUCGUAGGCGGCCAACUAAGUCGGAUGUGAAAUCCCCAGGCUUAACCUGGGAACUGCAUCCGAUACUGGAUGGCUUGAAUCCGGGAGAGGGAUGCAGAAUUCCAGGUGUAGCGGUGAAAUGCGUAGAUAUCGGGAGGAAUACCGGUGGCGAAGGCGGCAUCCUGGACCGGCAUUGACGCUGAGUGAGCGAAAGCCAGGGGAGCAAACGGG
rnacentral:rRNA from 1 species